GACGAACGCUGGCGGCGUGCUUAACACAUGCAAGUCGAACGGAAAGGCCCUGCUUUUGUGGGGUGCCCGAGUGGCGAACGGGUGAGUAACACGUGAGUAACCUGCCCUUGACUUUGGGAUAACUUCAGGAAACUGGGGCUAAUACCGGAUAGGAUCUCCUGCUGCAUGGUGGGGGUUGGAAAGUUUCGGCGGUUGGGGAUGGACUCGCGGCUUAUCAGCUUGUUGGUGGGGUAGUGGCUUACCAAGGCUUUGACGGGUAGCCGGCCUGAGAGGGUGACCGGCGACCUGGGGCCUGAGAUACGGACCAGAGGCCUACGGGAGGCAGCGGUGGGGAGUAUUGCACAAUGGGCGGGAGCCUGAUGCAGCGGCGCCGCGUGCGGGAUGACGGCCUUCGGGUUGUGAACCGCUUUCGCCUGUGACGAAGCGUGAGUGACGGUAAUGGGUAAAGAAGCACCGGCUAACUACGUG
rnacentral:rRNA from 1 species